AAACAAACACCAAAUGAGGAAAGAGGAUUCAAACCAAAAAACGCACACACAUACAAAACAAAUCUCACCUUCAUGCUUGUCUAAAUUUUUUUUCUUCUUUUUUCUUGUUUU
rnacentral:ribozyme from 1 species